GACAGCAGCAGCCACGGGAAUACAGAGGGUGCGAGCGUUAAUCGGAUUUACUGGGCGUAAAGCGUGCGUAGGCGGCUUCUUAAGUCGGAUGUGAAAUCCCUGAGCUUAACUUAGGAAUUGCAUUCGAUACUGGGAAGCUAGAGUAUGGGAGAGGAUGGUAGAAUUCCAGGUGUAGCGGUGAAAUGCGUAGAGAUCUGGAGGAAUACCGAUGGCGAAGGCAGCCAUCUGGCCUAAUACUGACGCUGAGGUACGAAAGCAUGGGGAGCAAACAGGAUUAGAUACCCCGGUAGUCCCUGUCUCUUAUAC
rnacentral:rRNA from 1 species